UGGAGAGAAUCGCCCGUGGACAUCGGUGUUGUGCGCCGCGUGGUAACGUCAGACGCGUUUGCGAAACGGCGGUUAUCGUAAAGCGAAACCCACAAAUAAUGUGGGCACCGAACAACACGAACCGGACGGACGGAUAAACCCUACCAGGAGGGUGAAAGAAAACGGACAACAAAACGGUCGGGGGAGGGAUGAACGCGCGACGUUGUAACGAGAUUCCGGAUCCGCGCGGAACGUUUUCCGCGAUGAGCUUUUACGGAAUAAGACGGAGAGGGAAAGAACAACCGCGUUACUGUACGGGACGGCACUGUAUUUCGUCCGGAAACGACGACAGCCGCCGCGUUACACACACCCCCCCCACCCCGUUAAAAACCCGUCGAACCCGUAACGCGCCGUCGUCCGCGGCGUACCGUCUGAACGAUAAAUUGACGUUGUGCGGAGCGGUUUUCCGCACGCUAAAGGCUGCUAAAAGGCGCGAGCAUAACGCCUCUUUAAUAA